GGCCUGACGCCCCUCCUGCUGGCUUGGGGAGAGGGUGGCGCCUCGCGGUGUGGAGGAACUUGGCAUAAUGCUGGCUCGGAGGCAAGAACAGCAGAGCUUGGCCGUGGUCGCUAUUUGCCAUUAACGCUUUCUUGGGUGGCAGUGAAGGAUGGAGGGAAGGGAGAUGGCCUUGUGUUCCCGGCAGAUGUUAGGGACUCCGAGGGACGGCAUUUGGUCUUCUCUCCAUUAUGCCAUUUCUCGAAAAGGAUGGUAAAUGUUAGUUUUCUGCACCUUUGCGUUGGGGAAUUGUAAAAUCGGGAAGACAACAGGAAACAACUGCAAGAAAUCAGAGACUUUAAUUGCUUGUAAAUAUUUCUACCCAAAAAAUGACCAGUGUUUGUUGUGUUCACAGUUUAAUCAAUAGGUUCAGCAUUACCAAAUCAAUUUUCUUUCAUUACAUUGUAUGAAGUUUACCGUUAAAACGAGACCUAGAGCACGUCAACAGGAAUCUGGCUGUUAAGAUUACUUUAUAAAACUUUGUAUACAAUUUUCAAAUCCUUUAAGGGAGAUCAGAAACCACUUGAAAUACCAUAGGUUUUUGUCACCUCUGAAAUUGUGAAGAUGUGUUUAUUUUCUUUCCUUUUCAAUUUUUCUACCACAUAAAUAAAACUUUCCUUUGGACAUUUUUUUCUAUUUUUGAGAUACAUUUUGCAAGAACAGUUAUAUGAAAAUGAAUCUUUAAAUGGAUACAAAUGAGAAAAAUCUAAUGUUAUCUGAAAAUUCUGUUCUUAUUCAUUUUAAAUGUUUUUAAAAAUUUUAAAUACAUUGAAUAUUUUCUUCAAAGUAUAUUACAAUUUAAAACAUAGAAAACAGCAAACCAAUGCUAAUGAAAAAGUAACUGCAAAUCCUGUAAGUUACCAAUAUUUGAAAAUUAAUUUCCACUCUUGUGUCAUUUGGUUUUUGUUUUUUCUUACCUAUAAUUUGGAUUUCAGUAUAGUAUAAGGUUGUUUUCCAUUUUAUGCAUUUUUUAGAAAGAACAAGGAGAGAGAGGCUUGUCUAUGAACUUCGUGCUUUUUUAGACAAUUGUCAAUCUGUAAGUAAUACAUGGAAACUGCAUCCUUUUAAGUAUUUAUAUUUGGACAAUUAUAACAUUUUAGAGGAGUAAGAAAAAUGCCUAUUUUGACAAGACUUACUGACUCAUUCCUUUGCCCAUGAAAUUCCACUGAUGUCAGUGGCAGUGUUAUUUUACACGUAGGUAAGAUACAAUGUUUAAUAGAAUGUAAACAUUUUGUACAAAAUAUUUAUUAUAUAUUUAGUGGAUUCUAUGAUGGUCCUGAAGUUUGGCAGCCCAUUUCCUUUCUGAAGAAAACUAAAAAAACCAUUUUAAAUGUCUCCAGAUUAAGAACUUCUUUUGUAUUCCCAUACCUCUAAAAAUAGGACUGAAACCAAUGAUCAAGUCCAAACUUUUGCUUUGUGACUCAUCCAGUUUAAACCCAGUGACUUGUUUUGUUGUAGGCAAGACAGCAAAUCCAGAAGCCAAUAUGAAGCACAUUACUUAUUUUUUUAAAAAUCAAGGGUGUAAAUAAACUGUAAUAAUAAGAAAUAUUUUUAAUAAUAGAAACUUCAAAUUUAAAAAAUACUUUAAAUAUAAAUGAUUACAUUAAUUAUAAACUUCCUAAUGCAGUUACUUGAAAAUUUUUUUACUAGGUUCAAGGAAUCAGUGCUUUAAGGGUGAAAAACAGGAAGUUAAAAAUUAUGGUGUUUAUAUCUGUACAUUUUGUUUAGACUUGUAAAGAUGUGUGUAAAUGAAGUAAUCAAGAAUGAUUACCUGAAUAAUGACAUGUGCUUCAGCUUCUUACAAAGUGUGUACUAUUUAGAGGUUUAACUGUCCAUUUUAUAUUUAAUCAAAAUCAUGUUUCUCCUCCAUAAGAACUCAAAGUUUGAUAUAAAACAAAGGAUAUGUAAAUAAGUUUAGUAUAAUUGUAAUAACAAUAUGGCCAACUCUUAAUUAUCUUAGAUUAUUAAUUAUUUACCAUUCUCCUUGUUGCUAUGUGUUAACAUAGCCCUACAUAGGAGGGAAGUGAAGAUGAAAGUCAAUGAAACUCAAAUUAAUUAGAUUUUCUGCUUGUUAGCAAUUGGAAAAAUAUUUAGAAAAAGAAUGACAGUAUUGUUUGUGUCAGACAACCCAUCCUUAUGCAGUGUUUUUAACCUUUCUAGCCAUUUACUCAUCUGAGAAGUGGUGGUAAUAUAAUCUACCUUAUGAAAUUGUGAGAAUUUAAUGAAAUAAUGUGCAAGAAAAAAAUGUGCCUGGUACAUAGUAAAGGCUCAAUAAAUAUCAGUUUUAAUUAUUUGAAAUCAAAAGGUACCCAUAACUUUUAUUUUUUUACAUAUGGCAUAAUUCAUUUUCUUUGUCAAUAAUAUUUAAAAAGAGAAUGGAUUUCAGAAUUUGUAAACUAUCUUCCAAAUAUAAUUUCCAUAAUAACUGUAUCUUGCAUUACUAUAUGAUAAUAGAAAUAUUAAUGGGAAUAUUUGGCCUGCUCCAUCAUAAUUUCUUUAAAGCAUACGGUUUUCGCGAAGACAAAACUUAGGAAAAAUGCUUCAAGUGAUUUCAGAGACUUAGUGCCUACCCAGCCUCAACUCAAACAGAAUUUGUUAAGUUUUUGUCACAGUUGGUAGUUUAGUACCAAACUUUAUGGUAGCAAAAACGCUGAAGAGCUUUAAAUCAUUAAGUAAAAAUUAUUUGCAUGGAGGGUUCUGUCUGUACAUUCAGUAAUUACAGUGAUUCCACCUUUCUGGUGGUGAUGUUAACUUUGAUCACUUUAUUUAGGUUGUGUCUGCUGGGUUUCUCCACUGUAAAUUUACUAUUUUUCUCCUUAUAAUUAAUAAAUAUCAUAUGGAGAGA